AUUGUAGCAAUACAAGGCGGACGGCUCAGUAACACGUAGUCAACCUAACUCGUGGACGUGGAUAACCUCGGGAAACUGAGAAUAAACCACGAUAGAUCAUAGUGCCUGGAAUGGCUUAUGGUCCAAACAGUUUACUGCCAUGGGAGGGGACUGCGGCCUAUCAGCUUGUUGGUGAGGUAAUGGCCCACCAAGGCGAUUACAGGUACGGGCUCUGAGAGGAGAAGCCCGGAGAUGGGUACUGAGACACGGACCCAGGCCCUAUGGGGCGCAGCAGGCGAGAAACCUUAGCAAUGUGCGAAAGCACGACUGGGUCAGUCCGAGUGAUUCCUGAUAAAGGAGUCUUUUGCUUGUCCUAAAAGCACAGGUGAAUAAGGGGUGGGCAAGUCUGGUGUCAGCCGCCGCGGUAAUACCAGCGCCUCGAGUGGUCAGGACGUUUAUUGGGCCUAAAGCAUCCGUAGCCGGCUUUGCAAGUCUUCGGUUAAAUCCACCUGCUCAACAGAUGGGCCGCUGGAGAUACUACAGAGCUAGGGAGUGGGAGAGGCAGACGGUAUUCAGUGGGUAGGGGUAAAUCCUCUGAUCCAUUGAGGACCAC
rnacentral:rRNA from 1 species